rnacentral:rRNA from 1 species
AGAGUUUGAUCCUGGCUCAGAUUGAACGCUGGCGGUAUGCUUAACACAUGCAAGUCGAACGGCAGCACGUUAUUUCUUUUCGGAGAGAUAAUGGUGGCGAGUGGCGGACGGGUGAGUAACGCGUAGGAAUCUACCCUAAAGUGGGGGAUAACCCGGGGAAACUCGGGCUAAUACCGCAUAAUCUCUACGGAGCAAAGCUGGGGACCAGAGUUUACUUUGGCCUGGCGCUAUAGGAUGAGCCUGCGUCGGAUUAGCUUGUUGGUGGGGUAAUGGCCUACCAAGGCAACGAUCCGUAGCUGGUCUGAGAGGAUGAUCAGCCACACUGGGACUGAGACACGGCCCAGACUCCUACGGGAGGCAGCAGUGGGGAAUAUUGGACAAUGGGCGCAAGCCUGAUCCAGCAAUACCGCGUGUGUGAAGAAGGCCUUCGGGUUG